GAUCUUAAAAUAAUGAUUGUUGCAAAAGAU
rnacentral:piRNA from 1 species